rnacentral:rRNA from 1 species
UAGGGAAUCUUCGGCAAUGGGGGGAACCCUGACCGAGCAACGCCGCAUGAGUGAAGAAGGUUUUCGGAUCGUAAAGCUCUGUUGUUAAGGAAGAACGAGUGUGAGAAUGGAAAGUUCAUGCUGUGACGAUACUUAACCAGAAAGGGACGGCUAACUACGUGCCAGCAGCCGCGGUAAUACGUAGGUCCCGAGCGUUGUCCGGAUUUAUUGGGCGUAAAGCGAGCGCAGGCGGUUAGAAAAGUCUGAAGUGAAAGGCAGUGGCUCAACCAUUGUAGGCUUUGGAAACUGUUUAACUUGAGUGCAGAAGGGGAGAGUGGAAUUCCAUGUGUAGCGGUGAAAUGCGUAGAUAUAUGAAGGAACACCGGUGGCGAAAGCGGCUCUCUGGUCUGUAACUGACGCUGAGGCUCGAAAGCGUGGGGAGCGAACAGG